rnacentral:rRNA from 1 species
UAGGGAAUCUUCGGCAAUGGGGGGAACCCUGACCGAGCAACGCCGCGUGAGUGAAGAAGGUUUUCGGAUCGUAAAGCUCUGUUGUUAAGGAAGAACGAGUGUGAGAAUGGAAAGUUCAUACUGUGACGGUACUUAACCAGAAAGGGACGGCUAACUACGUGCCAGCAGCCGCGGUAAUACGUAGGUCCCGAGCGUUGUCCGGAUUUAUUGGGCGUAAAGCGCGCGCAGGCGGUUAGAUAAGUCUGAAGUUAAAGGCAGUGGCUCAACCAUUGUAGGCUUUGGAAACUGUUUAACUUGAGUGCAGAAGGGGAGAGUGGAAUUCCAUGUGUAGCGGUGAAAUGCGUAGAUAUAUGGAGGAACACCGGUGGCGAAAGCGGCUCUCUGGUCUGUAACUGACGCUGAGGCUCGAAAGCGUGGGGAGCGAACAGG